rnacentral:rRNA from 1 species
UACGAAGGGGGCGAGCGUUGUUCGGAUUUACUGGGCGUAAAGGGCGCGCAGGCGGUCGUGACAAGUCACUUGUGAAAUCUCCGGGCUUAACUCGGAACGGUCAAGUGAUACUGUCGGACUAGAGUACAGAAGGGGCAACUGGAAUUCUCGGUGUAGCGGUGAAAUGCGUAGAUAUCGAGAGGAACACCUGCGGCGAAGGCGGGUUGCUGGGCUGAUACUGACGCUGAGGCGCGAAAGCCAGGGGAGCGAACGGG